GCCCUUAUAGCUCAGUUGGUAGAGCACCUGAUUUGUAAUCAGGGGGUCGGUGGUUCGAGUCCAUCUGGGGGCACCA
rnacentral:tRNA from 1 species